rnacentral:rRNA from 1 species
CCUACGGGUGGCAGCAGUGAGGAAUAUUGGGCAAUGGGCGAAAGCCUGAACCAGCCAAGUCGCGUGAGGGAUGAAGGUCCUCCGGAUUGUAAACCUCUUUUGCCGGGGAGCAAGCGUGCGUUAGUGAACGCGCGUCGCGAGUACCCGGAGAAACAGCAUCGGCUAACGCCGGUCCAGCAGACGCGGUAAUACGGAGGAUGCGAGCGUUAGCCGGAUUUAUUGGGUUUAAAGGGUGCGUGGGCGGGAUGCCAAGUCAGCGGUAAAAAUGCGGUGCUCAACGCCGUCGAGCCGUUGAAACUGGAGUGCUUGAGUGUGCGAGAAGCAAGCGGAAGGAGUGGUGUAGCGGUGAAAUGCAUAGAUAUCAGGCAGAACUCCGAUUGCGAAGGCAGCAUACCGGCGCCCUACUGACGCUGAGGCACGAAAGCGUGGGUAGCGAACAGGAUUAGAUACCCGAGUAGUC